GAGAAAAGCGCUUCAGUAGCGAGAGGGGCCGAGAAAGUGGUGACACCGCCGGGGAGCGGGGGGAGUCCCUGAAACUUCUCCCAACAGCCCCAGGGCCAAUUUCCCCCCCUCAGCCCAACCCCCUCUUCGCCAGCUCCCGAGUCCCCACUCCCUGCGCCGGGGGUGGGGUGGGGAGCCAGGCCCGUCUCCCGCUGGGACACACACAGGGGCCGGGAGCGGGGACGGGACCCCCGAGGCGGGUGGACGGACGGAUUGACGGGCAGGCAGGCGGACAGACAGACGGCCGGGCGCCCGGCCCAGCGGGCAGGCAGGCAGAAGGAGGUGGGGGUCUGGAGGGGCGGCCAGGGGCGAGGGGAGUUUCCUCUCAACUAUCAAGGGGAGAAACUCCCCUCAGCCGGAGGAGAGACCCCGACCGUGUUUUCCUCCCGGGGGCCGCGCUCCCCCGCCCCACGUAGCGGCGGCCGCCGCUGCCGCCGCCUCCACCUCCUCCACCAGCUUCACCACCACCACCAUCUCCUCCUCCUGUUCCUCCACCACCUCGGGCCCCGGUGUCCCCGGCCAGCACUAUGCCCAUCUUACUGUUCCUGAUAGACACGUCCGCCUCUAUGAACCAGCGCAGCCAUCUGGGCACCACCUACCUGGACACGGCCAAAGGCGCGGUAGAGACCUUCAUGAAGCUCCGUGCCCGGGAUCCAGCCAGCAGAGGAGACAGGUAUAUGCUGGUCACUUUCGAAGAGCCUCCCUAUGCUAUCAAGGCUGGAUGGAAAGAAAACCACGCCACGUUUAUGAAUGAACUGAAAAACCUUCAAGCUGAAGGACUUACGACACUUGGCCAAUCCCUAAGGACAGCUUUUGAUUUAUUAAAUUUAAAUAGAUUAGUAACUGGCAUAGACAACUAUGGGCAGGGAAGAAACCCUUUUUUCCUGGAGCCAGCAAUAAUUAUAACAAUUACUGAUGGGAGCAAGUUGACUACUACCAGUGGAGUCCAGGAGGAGCUCCAUUUACCUCUUAAUUCACCUUUGCCUGGAAGUGAAUUGACCAAGGAACCUUUCCGCUGGGAUCAGAGACUCUUUGCGUUAGUGUUGCGGUUGCCUGGCACCAUGGCUGUUGAAUCAGAGCAGUUGACAGGUGUGCCUCUAGAUGAUUCUGCAAUCACACCAAUGUGUGAGGUGACAGGAGAUGGACAGACAGAACUAUCAAGACCUUUUGGAUCUCAACCUUGGCACAGCUGUCAUAAGCUUAUCUACGUCAGACCAAACCCUAAAACUGGGGUUCCAAUAGGUCACUGGCCUGUUCCAGAAUCCUUUUGGCCAGAUCAAAAUUCUCCAACACUACCACCUCGGACAUCACACCCUGUGGUGAAGUUUUCUUGUACUGACUGUGAACCAAUGGUUAUUGAUAAACUGCCUUUUGACAAAUAUGAAUUAGAACCUUCACCACUGACCCAGUUUAUCCUGGAAAGGAAAUCCCCUCAAACUUGUUGGCAGGUAUAUGUGAGCAAUAGUGCAAAAUAUAGUGAACUUGGUCAUCCUUUUGGUUACUUGAAAGCUAGUACAGCAUUGAAUUGUGUCAAUUUAUUUGUGAUGCCUUAUAAUUAUCCAGUCCUCCUUCCUCUUUUAGAUGACUUGUUCAAGGUGCAUAAAGCAAAGCCAACAAUAAAGUGGAGACAGUCAUUUGAAAGUUAUUUGAAGACCAUGCCUCCCUACUAUCUUGGGCCCUUGAAGAAAGCUGUUAGAAUGAUGGGAGCGCCUAACCUUAUAGCAGACAGUGUGGAAUAUGGACUUAGUUAUAGUGUCAUUUCAUACCUCAAAAAAUUGAGUCAACAGGCCAAAAUAGAAUCUGAUAGAGUCAUCGGAUCUGUAGGCAAAAAAGUAGUGCAGGAAACUGGAAUUAAGGUCCGAAGCCGAUCACACAAUCUGUCAAUGGCAUAUAGGAAAGAUUUUCAACAUCUGCUACAGGGAAUUAAUGAGGAAGUUCCUCACAGACUUCUAGACCUCAACAUGAAGGAAUACACUGGGUUCCAAGUUGCUUUGCUGAAUAAGGAUUUGAAGCCACAGACCUUUAGAAAUGCUUAUGAUAUACCCAGACGAAAUCUUUUGGAUCAUUUAACAAGGAUGAGAUCUAAUCUUUUGAAGACAACCCGUAAAUAUCUUAAAGGUCAAGAUGAAGAUCAAGUGCACAGUGUUCCUAUAGCACAAAUGGGGAAUUACCAAGAGUACCUCAAGCAGAUACCCUCUCCUCUUAGAGAACUUGACCCUGACCAGCCUCGAAGGCUACAUACGUUUGGGAACCCCUUCAAGCUAGACAAAAAGGGUAUGAUGAUAGAUGAAGCAGAUGAAUUUGUAUCUGGACCUCAGAAUAAACACAAACGACCUGGAGAACCAAAUAUGCAAGGGAUCCCCAAAAGACGACGUUGUAUGUCUCCACUUCUAAGAGGAAGGCAGCAGACUCCUCCAAUUGCAAACAAUCAUAUUGGAGGAAAAGGGCCUCCUGUACCAACUGCACAAGCACAGCCAGACCUUAUUAAGCCUCUUCCUCUUCACAAAACUUCAGAAACCACUAAUGAUAUGGCAGUGGAUGAUGUGAUUGAGAAUCAUGUUGCAGACCAACUGUCAUCAGACAUUGCACCGAAUGUGAUGGAUUCUGAGUUUUCAACAUCCUCUUCUCCAGUCAGUUUACUGGAGCGACCAACCAAUCACACAGAGGCUCUUGGCCAUGAUCAUUUAGGAACUAAUGACCUUACUGUGGGUGGAUUUUUAGAAAAUCAUGAAGAACCAAGAGAUAAAGAACAAUGUGCUGAGGAUAACAUACCAGCUUCUUCACUCAACAAAGGGAAGAAAUUGGUGCAUUGCAGAAGCCACGAGGAGGUCAACAUUGAAUUAAAAGCACAAAUAAUGAAGGAAAUUCGAAAGCCAGGAAGAAAAUAUGAAAGAAUCUUCACAUUACUGAAGCAUGUGCAAGGCAGUUUGCAAACAAGAUUAAUAUUUUUACAGAACGUCAUUAAAGAAGCAUCAAGGUUUAAAAAGCGAAUGCUAAUAGAGCAAUUGGAGGGCUUCUUGGAAGAAAUUCAUCGCAGAUCCAAUCAGAUAAACCAUAUUAAUAGCAAUUAAAAAGAAACUAGAAUGUGGCCACCUCUUUCCCUCCCCUCAAACACAAAGUAAAAAUAUGACUGAAGGAGUACACUGCUGUGAUCUUUGCAUUCGUUUUUGACAAGCACUGUUAGCUAUUUGAAAUACUAAAAGCAGCAAGUCUACAGAUCCUGUUUCCAUCAUUUUACAGUGACCUUUCUCCAUUUUGGUUUAUUUUUGUAAUGUGAAAAGUAUCACUCAAGAACAUUUUUAUUUAACAAACUAAAACACAAAAAAAUCCCAUUGAAAUUCUUGCUUGUCAUUGACUCUUGCGUGUCAAUUUCCCUCAGGUUCUAUUUUCUUAAUCCAACCUUCAAAAUUGUCACCUCUGUUAAGGUUGAAUUUUGCCAAAAAAGGAAAAAAAAGAAAAAAAGAAAAGAAAAAGACAAAAAAAGAAAAAAGUUACUUUGUAAUUUUUUGGGGAAAAAGCACAUACAUAAAAACAAGGAGAAGGAGAUUGGAGCCUCUGACCAUGUGAGUUUAAAAGGUCAGGUAAAGGCUCUGGCAUCCAGAGUCUGGGGUCCAGGGCCAGUGCCAAACUGAUGCCUCAAGAAGCAAGGAGUGACCUUUGGGAGCCCAGCCCAGUGGUAGCUGAGACAAGAACUUCUACAGCAGAGAUGCCACUUUUGGACAUGAACUUUGAUGGGGACCGAUGUUGUGUAGGAACUGGACUAGGUUUUGAGCCCAUUUCCCCUCAGAGACCAAGGUGGUGUGGGAAGAGCAUGCCCCUGAGGUAUUGGGGAAAAUGUCUGUAUGUUUGUUCUUGUUCUAUCUAUGAAGUAAACAUCUAUUUGUUAAAUCUGA